rnacentral:lncRNA from 1 species
GGAGCUGCUGUCACGGUUUCACACACACAUGGCAUUUUGAUUUGCUUUGGAGACGUUUAUUUAAGUGAUGCCAGCGUAUAUCACGACUUGGAAAAAGUUGAUUUAAAAUGGAGGUUCAUAAUUUAAUUUUGGGAGAGCUCGGUCGGUCACAAUUGGAAGAAGAGAAUUUGUUUAUUUUGGUUUUCAGUCAUUGGUUUUAUUUCCACAGCAUGCAUUUUACUUGUUAGUUUAAGCGUUACAUUUUAAUAGUUCUAAUUAUGUUUGAAUAUUUGUCUAUUGUAGUAUUAGGAUUAGCAUUCUCUUUUAUUUUAAUUUUUUGAUUAUGUUUGGUUGCAUUUAAUUUCUAGUUUUUAUUUAAUUUAUUUUUCUUCGCAAAAACACUUUCAAAACCUUUCCCCCCCCCCCCUUCGUGUUAGACCUGAGACUCGAACCAUAGUUUGGUCCUUGAGAGACGACCUAGGGGUCAUUCCCUAGCUAUACUGCAUUUCUCAUAUGCAAUUAAAUUUGUAUGGGUCGCGACACCCAUCACUUAUCCAAAAUGAUAGUCAACUGUCUAACCAUGCAGGUCAAAGCAAAAAGAAGAGCUUCAGCACAAAUGUUGUCCAGUGCUAUGAAUGUGGAAAAGAAGGUCAC